AAGCUUUUUGAGCGGGAAGACGCCAGUAAACUUUUGAAUUCAUAUAAAAUGGUUACAAAACAUAUGGAACUAGGGAAAUUUUUAUGAGAUUAAUGGUAUUAAUCGCCAUUGUAGAGAGAGAAUCUGAGUUUUUUUGAGUUAUUUAGAGAGAGAGGGCUAUGUUAUUGGAGAUUUGGAUUGAGGGUCUAAUGGUUUUGGAUGUUUGGAUUGAUAUUUUUCCCCUAAAAUGAUCGUCAAAAAAGCUUGGCUAAAUGCUUUGUGUUUUAGGGUUUGAAGUUCCAUGGCGGUUCGCGGAUGGUGCGCUAUUUAUUUCGGGCGUAUUUUUUGGUAUUCUCUUCUGAUUUAGAGAGAGAAUCCAUGGAUUUGUUUCAGCUAUUGGCUUUCUCUGUCUGUUUCGAGAGAAAAAGAGUUCAUGGACUUCCAUGCCCUGUCGAUGUUCUCUGUUGAGAGAGAGGGAGAGAGACAUUCAUCAAUUUCCAGGGACAUCUGCUCUGUUUGUUUUCUCUCUGUCUGUGUGCCUUUAUCUCUCUUUCCCCCUCUCACUCAUUCUCUAUCUUGUGAAGCCCAUGAGUCUCCAUGUGUAUCUUCGUUGUAGGUGUUAUCUGUUGAUUACAGAGAGAAUCCAUGGAGUUCAUGGAUAUCUUGAGAUGUAUGAUACGAAAACGGGCAUUUUAAUUUCAAGCCCAUCGGAAGGAGUCGGUUUCAUCACAUGAAAGCUCAGCAAUGCACAAAUCCUUUUAUCAAAGAGUGAGGGUCAGUGCUUGGGCUGCAAAUCAGGAACCAUAAACAUGUUGUUAUCCUCCGGAGUUCGCAGAGCAACCUCGAAGGCAAUCUGGCUUUUAAGGGUAUAAGCAAACGGAGAAGUAACAGCCGCCUGACGGUGAGGAGUCGUUCUCUUAAGCGUCCAUGCUUUGAGAGAGAUGACAAAGAAAAACUCAAACGGAGUGCUAUCAUUGAAGGACUCUCUUUCUCCAAUGUCUUUCUCCUAUUCAGUGAACAUCAAAUAUUAGUGCGGGAAAUAUUAAUCUUAAUCUUAUUGCUUUGUUUGUAGUUUUUGAUAUCCUUCUCGUGUCAUGUAUGAAUUGAAUACAGUUCUAAUUCGUUGACUAUAGUUUUGGGGUUGUUCAUUUUUAUUGUCAGAGUGAAUUCAGAGUGUUUUUUAUUGUUACAACAUCGUUUUAACUGCAGUUUUGGGGUGGUUCAUUUUUAUUGUCAGAGUGAAUUCAGAGUGUUUUUUAUUGUUACAAUAUGGUUUAACUUAGGCUUUAGUGACAAUUACUUUUUAUUAACUUCGUACUGUUUAUUAAUUUCUAAUUUUUGUG